GUUGUGGCUCAGUGGUAGAGUGCUUGCCUAGCAUGCACAAGUCCCUGAGUUUGAUCCUUGGCACA
rnacentral:tRNA from 1 species